AGAGCAGCGCGCGGGGCAGACCUCCUCGGGUCCUCCGGCGCUUCGGUCUCCGGAGACGCCCGGCCUCCUGAAGGGUUCGGCUUGUCCUCCUCUGGCGCUCAGCUCCCUCUGGCGGCCGGGCUGGCAGGACCUCAGCGCCCAGCCCUUCCGUCUUGUUACGUCCAGGGUCUCACUCUGUGUCUCAGGCUGGAGUACAGUGGUGCAAUUGUAGAUGGCUGCAGCCCUCGACCUCCUGGGCUCAAGUGAUCCUCCUGCCUUAGCCUCUCGAGUAGCUGGGAGUACAGAUGCACACCACCACACCCAGCCUAGAAUGAAGAAACCUGCAGUUGGGAAGCAUGAAUUUACCACCUAUUAAGAAGUAGUCAUCAGGCAUGACCUCCCAUGGGUGCUCACAGAAGAUGGUGCCGUGCAUGUGCAGAACUUCCCAGGCCAAGAUCCACCACAUUGGACCCACUGAGAGACACACUGCCUUAUGCCAGGGACCUGGUGGAAAGGUCACCCCCAGAAUGGACAGGCUGGGAAGAGCUCACUUAACAGUGCACUGGUUUACUGAGACAAUUCAAAACACACAUUCAUUUUGUGUGCUUAUGAAAUAUAUCCCAAGCUGUAUCUUUUUUAUAACAG
rnacentral:lncRNA from 1 species